rnacentral:rRNA from 1 species
UACAGAGGGUGCAAGCGUUAAUCGGAAUUACUGGGCGUAAAGCGAGCGUAGUCGGUUAUCUAAGUCGGGUGUGAAAUCCCCGGGCUCAACCUGGGAAUUGCAUUCGAUACUGGAUAGCUAGAGUUCGGCAGAGGGAAGCGGAAUUUCCGGUGUAGCGGUGAAAUGCGUAGAUAUCGGAAGGAACAUCAGUGGCGAAAGCGGCUUCCUGGACCAGAACUGACGAUCAGGCUCGAAAGCGUGGGGAGCAAACAGGG